AUUCAAUGCACGAUCACCACCACGGAAGCCAUCAUUGGAGCCUACCCAGUGGAGAGCCAGUUGCUGUUCCUCUUUGCUGCUUCAGAUAAGUUCUUCACAAUGCAUCGCAACUCUUGACCACUGAAUCCGAUAUCUCUAAGAAAUCGGGUUGUGGAGUUGUCACAAAGACGGCCAGAGUGGGUGGCGUCAGACCAGAAAAGGAAUACACAGAGACGGUGAUGGUGAUGAGCUGAGUGCAAUGGCUGCACUCAGCGUUUAUUAACAAAUAAAAGGUUUGAACAAUGGAAUACAAAACAGGACACGGCACUUGACGCCAAAAUAAACAGACAGACAAAACGACUAAACACUCAACAAACGGUGCACGGAGACAAACAAACACGAUCUGCCCCUUUAGACCGGAACAACGAGCCAGCGGUCUCGUUUGACUACAGACGGACAGGAGAAAAACUUCCGGACAGAAAAUUAAAGAAAAUAAUCUAAAGAAAGAGAGAGAAAGUGGGGAAUCCUUGGGCAGCCCCUGAUACUGUUGUAAAGUUAGCUGAGGAACAGCCUAGAGUAGGACGGAGACCCGGGUCGGACGAAUAGCGGCGACUGGGGGAAAUCACGCUGCAAAGUGCAGCACAUUUAUUUUGUAGUUUUCAUUACUGUGUUUUAUUUUCCCUGUUUCUUUUUGCCUUUUUGUUUUUCAUUAUUUUUGAGCACCUGCGAGUGCCCCUGAUCUUAUCGAGUACCCUGCCGUGGUAUUCCCGUAGGUUCUGGAUACCAUAGUUGGUAGCCAGACCACGGACCACAGCGCCCUCUACGGGCUCAAGCAAAGCAGUGCAACUCAC